AUUAGAUAAUCAUUCAAUUCAGAAUUUCAUUUUAGUCAAUGUCAUCUCAUUACAGUUAAUCGCAUCCCACAUUGCUACUAAAUUAUUCUGUCACUCUUAAUUUCCAGUACAUCUCAUUAUUGUUAUUUGGAUACAUGCUACAUAGCGGCAGUGCCAUGCAGUUUUCACAAGAAGAUUUCACCGAAAGAAACAAACUCAGCUUUAUUGCAAAUUCCGUUCUCAAAUGACCAUAAACAUUCUUCUUCUGCAGGAACACUAACUACACCACCUUCCCGGACAGCUUGUUCCAAUGCCUAGCCACUAUUCCUGAGAAUAAAUUCUUCCUAAUAUUCAACCUGAGAUGUUGCAGGAAAACACAGUUGCCUCUGGACAGAUGUCUGCAACCCAGCCAUGUGACUUGCUCCAUGCCAGGAGAAAUGAGUCUUCAAGAAUUACAUAGUGAUUGGAUAAAAGCACCAAGACAUCGAAUGUAGAAUAAAUUGCACUGUUUUUAAAACCAGAAUGACCUGUAAGAGAGCAGUACUUCCAUUGUAGUAUUACGUGCUGUUCAUGAUUAAGAACAGAAUUUAAUUAUUAUACCUAAUAGCCUUACACCUCCACAGUUCACAUACAAUGCUUCAUCUUGAACUCUUCUGCAGAUCUGCAGCCUUUGACUACUUGAAUGUAAUGUGUUUGUUUGUAUUUUUUAAUUGACAAUUUAAAAUGAUUUUAAUUGUAACUUAGGCUUGUUCUUUGUGAUAAAAUUCAAAAGGUUAAAUCACGUCUUUGAUGUCAAGGUUGAGCUCUGUCUUUGAUCUGUAAAUAGGGGCAGUAAAACUCAAAGAGCUUCACCUGCGUUUGUGUGUAAUUAUUGUACAUUAAUCUGAAUUCAAGUCUGAAAUUUACAUUGCUGUAUUAGCAUAUCAAAGACUUUCAUAGCAGGAUAUAUUCGACUAAGAGUUAAAUAUUUGAGAUGAGCCUGCAGUAUGCCAGCAAAUUCAUACUACAGAUGUAAGCAAAAAGAAACCUUAACUAGUAUAUUUCCCCAAAAUGUACAGUAAAAAGAGAAUGCUUUGGUUUGGAAAGAUAAAUACUGGAAAUUUUCUGAAUUUACUUUUUAUGAUACUGGAACUUAGAAAAGAUAUGAGUUUGAAUCUUGACAGACAAUCAAUAUAAUAUCGUUUUUACAGGGCAUUGAAUCCAAUUCAGAAUAAAUAUAUUCAAAUUCAAGACAUAUAUACUUGGAUAUAUGAAAGUAAAGUACCUUAAUUGGCUACGCUCUUUCUAUUCAUUUGUUUUUUUCCUUGCAUACAUCAAAUGAAAACAAAGAAUGAUGGACCUACAUUCCAGUAACUGGUCUUUUACUGGAAUUUAAGAGGUGAAUGUUUUAUUACUUAUCUCUAAUUUGGUCAAAUUUCUGAGUGCUCUAUAUGAUGUUUUAGAAUGUCAAGAAAGAUGUACAUUUCAUUGUCCCAGUAUGAUCUUACUGUGUUUGACUAAAAUGCUCAUGUAGGAAGAGAGGUUGAAUGACUCAAACCAUCUCAGGCUGUGGAGAAAACUGGAUCUAUGUUAUCAUCUCAGUAAUGUCAAUUCUGAUCAGUAGCCUGUCACAGGAAGAGGAGGUGACAGACCUGAUUGUUAUCUGAGUCAGUCACCUGUGGAAAAAAGUCCUGUGGAAUGAUGGUUCUCAUCUGAGCCAUCAAGGUGAGAGUAGUAGUGACUUCCAGGCAAAGUCUUCCUUUCAGCACUGACUGUUGGUUGUUGUUAGCUGAUUCACUGUGUAAUUGAUUGUGAACCUAAGCACUGAACACUCUGUAUAUAAGGAGCUGAGGUCUCCACUGGAGAUUAGGAGUUCCAUUUCCAGGGCUAAAAGUCUAAAAUUUAGCUGUUUGUCACAGACUCUGAGAGAUUCCCUGAAAAACUGGACCUAAGCUGAUACUGUGAUCGAUUGAAAAUGAAUUCUAUGGAUUUCAGAAAAUAAAUGGUGCCUGAAAGCACAUCUGUAUUCAAAGUCAAUGCUUUGAAUAAGAGAGGCGAAGCACAAAGAAAACAUGUUGACUCGAAAUGCUGGAUUAAAGCUCAGCAUGAAAUACAGUAGGCUCUACCUCCUUUCUGCAACAUGGCUUGUCAUCUUUUGAAGACAAAUGGUCUCCACAUUACGGAACAUUAUGGGGAAGCACUAAUGAACAUACAUCAUUCUGCUGGAGAUCAUGACAAUAUAUUAGACUAGAUCAA
ensembl:lncRNA